AGAACGAACGCUGGCGGCAUGCCUAAUACAUGCAAGUCGAACGAACUCUUCGGAGUUAGUGGCGCACGGGUGCGUAACGCGUGGGAAUCUGCCCCUUGGUUCGGAAUAACAGUUGGAAACGACUGCUAAUACCGGAUGAUGACGAAAGUCCAAAGAUUUAUCGCCAAGGGAUGAGCCCGCGUAGGAUUAGCUAGUUGGUGAGGUAAAGGCUCACCAAGGCAACGAUCCUUAGCUGGUCUGAGAGGAUGAUCAGCCACACUGGGACUGAGACACGGCCCAGACUCCCUACGGGACGG
rnacentral:rRNA from 1 species